GCAUAACUCAGGGGGUGGAAGGCGAUUUGGUAGGGUGUAUGGCUACCAACCUGAAGGUUGCGGGUUUGAUUCCCGCCCUUCACACA